rnacentral:rRNA from 1 species
UACAGAGGUGGCAAGCGUUGUUCGGAAUUACUGGGCGUAAAGGGCGCGUAGGCGGUUCGUUAAGUCCUGUGUGAAAUCCCCCGGCUCAACUGGGGAGCUGCACAGGAAACUAGCGGGCUUGAGUUCGGGAGAGGGAAGCGGAAUUCCGGGUGUAGCGGUGAAAUGCGUAGAUAUCCGGAGGAACACCGGUGGCGAAGGCGGCUUCCUGGACCGACACUGACGCUGAGGCGCGAAAGCUAGGGGAGCAAACGGG